rnacentral:rRNA from 1 species
ACGGCGAGUGAAGCGGCAAGAGCUCAAAUUUGAAAUCUGGCCUCCUAUGGGGGUCCGAAUUGUAAUUUGUAGAGGAUGCUUUGGGUGCGGCCGCGGCGCAAGUCCCUUGGAACAGGGCGUCGCAGAGGGUGAGAACCCCGUCUUGAGUCGCCGGUACGCGCCCGUGCAAAGCUCCUUCGACGAGUCGAGUUGUUUGGGAAUGCAGCUCUAAGUGGGUGGUAAAUUUCAUCUAAAGCUAAAUAUCGGCCGGAGACCGAUAGCGCACAAGUAGAGUGAUCGAAAGGUUAAAAGCACCUUGAAAAGGGAGUUAAAAAGCACGUGAAAUUGUUGAAAGGGAAGCGCUUGCGACCAGACUCGGGCGCGGGGGUUCAGCGGGCAUUCUUGCCCGUGCACUCCGCCGCGCUCCGGGCCAGCAUCAGUUUCGACGGCCGGUCAAAGGCCUCCGGAAUGUGUCGUCCUCCGGGACGUCUUAUAGCCGGGGGUGCAAUGCGGCCAGUUGGGACUGAGGAACGCGCUUCGGCAC